UACAGAGGGUGCAAGCGUUAAUCGGAAUUACUGGGCGUAAAGCGCACGUAGGUGGUUUAGUAAGUUUGAUGUGAAAGCCCUGGGCUUAACCUGGGAAUUGCGUUGAAACUGCUGGACUUGAGUCGGAUAGAGGGCAGUGGAAUUUCCGGUGUAGCGGUGGAAUGCGCAGAUAUCAGGAGGAACACCGGUGGCGAAGGCGGGUCUCUGGGCAGUAACUGACGCUGGAGGAGCGAAAGCGUGGGGAGCGAACAGG
rnacentral:rRNA from 1 species